AAUAAACCAAUUUUUCACUUUUUACCUACAAUUUUUAACUCUUCGUCUUAUUCAAUUUUUUUUUACGAUUGAUAUUUUUGUUUUUAUUAGAUGAUAAAUCAUGAAUAGUAGACUAAUUUUUUUCUAAUUUUCUAAAAAAAUUUUAAAUAAGAUGGAUGGUCAAACAUUGGACAUGGAAACCGGAGAAUUGAUU
rnacentral:pre_miRNA from 1 species